GCGAGCGCUAACGUCACUUCCUCGUCCUAUCUCGCGGGAUUUCCCCACUGGCUUCUCGCGAGAAUGAAGGGAGGCGGCCACCUCGGAGAUGGAGCCGCCGCAGCGCGUGCCUACCGGUCUCCCGGCGAUCCUGGCGCAAACAGACUGGUCUGAACCAUGGCUAUUGGGACUUGCAGUUUUCCACAUCCUCUGCUUCCUGAUCACUUGCUUUUCAUUCCAGCGCUACCACCUGCAGAUAGGGCAUUUUCUCUGCAUGGUGGCCUUGGUGUAUUGUGCUGAAUAUAUCAAUGAACUAGCUGCUAUGAAUUGGAGGUUAUUUUCUAAAUACCAAUAUUUCGAUUCAAGAGGGAUGUUUAUUUCCCUAGUAUUUUCAGCUCCAUUGCUGUUGAACGCUAUAAUAAUAGUGAUUACUUGGGUUUAUAAAACAUUGAAUGUAAUGACUGAAUUGAAGACACUACAGCAAAAAAGAAGAGCAGAAAAAGAAAAGAAAAAUCCUGUAAAUUUCAGCUGAGACAUGAUGGUCAAGAUGGGUUCUGAAAAAUAUUUGGCAGUCAUGGUGGAUAAUCAGCCGAACAUGAGUGCCCACUGCAACACUGGCCAAAAGGACUUUUGCAAUCCUGGAGACUCUCAAGUGCUGAUCUUGCAAGCUGAUCAGUGGGGACAGUUCUCUGCACCUUUGUGGAGCUGAACCAAAAUCAGUGAAGCUCGUGCAGGCCCAAGAGUCCACCCACACAGAUUGCCUUAUAAGGGCUGGGCCCUUCAGCAUCAGGGACAUGUCCAAGACAACAAUGUUGGAGCAUAAUAAAUAACAGACUGCAAUACUUAACAGAAUAACGCACAUGCCAAUACACAAUCUUCAAUAAGUAAAAAUGACAGUUUUAGAAUUGAGGAAGUUGGAUAUCACCAUAAUGCUACAAUAGUUUGCAUACUCUUAAGUGGAUAGAAGCUGGAUGUUUUCUUUGUUAAAAAUCAGUUAAUACAAAAGCACAGUGGCUUCUUUUUCCCCAAAGUGUGGAUAUGUGCACAUUCAAAGAGAAUAGGUGCCAAAUCAAUAAAGUAGGUAUUUUUUAAAAAUUGGAGUAUUAGCUUUGUUCAGCUCCGGGAAACUCUCAAAAUACACUUUAGAAUGCUAAGUAUAAUUGAAGCAGCACAUGGUUUUAAGCCUUCUCUGUUAAAAGGUCACUUAAAGAUAAAUAGCAAUAAAUUUAAGAAAAAUAAUAUAGUUGUAUAAAUUAAUGACUACUACCUGAGCCAAAUGUGAUUUCCAAAUGAAGUAAAAUGUAAAUAACAAAAGUAUUCCUGCAUUUUUUUUCCCCCCAUGGGAUUAUCAAGCCUUACUUAUGUUGAUUACUUUUCCUUUAGAUAACCUUUUCGUGUACCAUUAUGAAGGAAAUUUUAAGUUUUAGAGUGAGGGAAAUACAUACAAGAACAAUAAAAAAUGUUUUUCAAAUUAUAAAAAAAAUGAAAUAAGUGUUUUUAACAUAAGAGCAUCCCUCAGAGAAUUAAAUGGAAAGUGACGAUUGUGUUGGUUAUAAUAGGAAUGGAUUUAUGAAGUGAUAGAACAAUAAAUGUAACCUAAAAGCCUACUUGCUGACAAACCUAAAAUAAUUACAUCCUGAAUUCAGACAGUUUUUGCUGGCUUCAGCUUUCUAUAUAUAUAAGUAACUUGGGGCUACAUUUUUAUUUGUGGUGGAAAGCCUGAGUCCACAUGCUUGCCUGGAAGAUUUCAAUGGAGGUUUUGUGAGGAAAAGACUCCUUCUCAGUGAACCUGGAGCUGCAAAGACAGCCAAGGGAUAGCUGCUCUACUAACUACUGCAGACUUUGGGCUACAAAGGGGAAUUUAGUCAUUUGAUUCAUGUAAGUGGCAGAGACAAACUAUACCUCCAGCAUGCCCAGAUCUCUUCUCAGUGCUAUGGGGAGAGUCACCGUGGAAUAAUGCUAAAAGGUGCAUGAGGAGUAUGACGUCCACCUGUCAUCCUUCCUGUAGCCCAGCUUUCUCUGUAUUUGAAUCAUGGCACUUUUGGUGCGUUAUGUGCCUCUGAAAGGGCAGCAAUUAGGACUGUGCACUAAAUUUGCUAAAGAACCUUAAAUGCAGUAGAAUUUGAAGUUAACAUCAUUCCAAAUGCAAAACUGGUUAAUGAACUGAGGUGAGGUGAAUUUCCCCACAGACACUUGAUGCGGCUCUGUCUGGAAACUUGAAAAGAGGACGAGGAGAAGAAAACAAAAAACAAGGAGUUGUCAGUUUUUAACAAUUUCAUUCUAUAUAAGAGGACACACAGUCUGGCUUAGAACAGGUUUACUGAAAGUAAUGUGUUUCUUCAAGUUCAAUAAGACAAAAAGAUUAUUUUGCCCCCUUUUUAUUUUAAAGCUAAACUAAAUCUGUUAAGAAUGAGGACAUCUACUAGUACUGACAUAGACCCCAAAACAGCAAUCACUUAGGGCUAGAUUUUGAAAGGUAUUCAGAUGCCUGAAGAUGCAGAUUGGUGCCUAAUGGGAUUUUCAAAAGUGUUUAAGCAAGUUAGGCACCUAACUCACAUUGAUUUCAAUGGGCUUGACCAUUAAGAACAUGCA